rnacentral:rRNA from 1 species
UACAGAGACUGCAAGCGUUAUUCGGAUUCACUGGGCGUAAAGGGUGCGCAGGCGGCCAAGUGUGUGAGGCGUGAAAGCCUGGAGCUUAACUCCAGAAUUGCACCUCAAACUACAUGGCUAGAGCAUUGGAGAGGGUAGCGGAAUUCCGGGUGGAGUGGUGAAAUGCGUAGAGAUCCGGAGGAACACCUGUGGUGUAGACAGCUUACUGGACCACUUCUGACGCUGAGACACGAAAGCGUGGGUAGCAAACAGG